UCGGUUUAAUAAGCUCAGCAGCAGGAACGAGAACAGUUUGGGGUUGUGAAUUCAGACUGUAUUAAGCUUUAACUCAGGGAAUCUAUGAUCUAAUUACUAUGAUCGUAUUACAAACAGGUCGUUUUUUUGUGAUAGUUUCCCAGGCAGCGCCGUCAGAUUCCCGUUGGCUGGACGUCGGAGGGGAAAUGACUCCUGCUGUCACACCCUCUCUCCGGGCAACACAUCAGAUGCAUCAUGGCAGUGCAAGAGCUGAGAGACAAGACAGCUGGAAUACAAACAAGGCUGAAGAGGAGCACCUGAACGCACCGUCUUGUUUUUCGACCUCGCUGGGCGUCGUCGCUCGGCGGAGGCGGGGCCUGAAUUGGGACGCUGCUAAUUCUGGAUUUGACUGUUGACAUCAGAUAAACUAAUAUUAUCCUGUUUAGUCACAUGACAGCUGCGACUCCUCCAGACUUGUUCUGCUCCUCUAAAGUCGUCAGCUGAGAGCGUUUACAGGAGGAUGUAAACAGCGACUGUGUUAAUGGAGUUAAGGUGGACAAGGUGUAAACCCUCAGUGCGGACUGUCAGGCUCAGCUUCGCCCUUUGCGUGGGACAGAAAUCCGCUCCAGACCCCCGGAGAGUCGACGCCCUGCUCGGCCUUAUUGGCACCACAUCUGCUGUGAUUCACUGUUUCCUCUCUGAGGACAGCGAAGCAGCACCGAGCUCAGCGGAGGGGUUGCUGGUUUGAAUCCCCCCAGACAGACUCCGGUGGACACCAGAAUAGAUCCAACAAUGACCGGUUUAUUCUGUCUGCCAGAGAUCGGAAGGGUAGAACGAGACUCUCGCCUACAGAAAAAAACUCAAACUGCAACAGAAAAUCCAGAAGACGUCAGCGAGAGUCCCGCCCACACGGCUUGAUUGACAGAUGCAACUUGGAACCGACGUAUGAACGACAUGACAACGAGCGGUUGUACCUUGGACUCUUAAGUCACAUGAUGACACCUGAGCAAGUUCCAGUUCUUUCUCUGAAGAAGGCCAUGGGAUAUGGUCGAAAGCUCUGUUUCUUAAUGACUUUCAAAAUCGUGAGUUCUUUUGCUUCUUCUGUGCAUCCUGAUAACAUCUUGUUCCCAAACAGGAUCUAAAGAGAUGCUAAUUUGGUUCUCCAGGGCAUCCAAACGAAGACAGUUAAGGAAGUUCUAAAUAUUUAUCAUUAUUAUGAUUAUUAUGAUCAUUAUUAUUAUGAUUAUUAUUAUUAUUAUUAUUAUUAUGGGAUUGUAAGGAGUUUGAAAGGGAACAAAAGUGGUUCCACAUGGGAUUUCAAGGGGAUCUCAUCGUCUCUAAGGAAGUUGGUUUCCAUCCAAACGUAGCACACAUUUUGACAGAUUUUCCAAAUAAAACGUCCUUAAUGUUUGUUUCCAUCCGAUGCUGCUGAAUAUUAGCAGAUAAAAUAUAUAUAAAUCCUCCAGUCGCUGCCGUUAAACCGUUACAGAAGAAGAAGAAACAACGAGAUGAUGUCAUUGAAAGAGCGACAGUCAAAGCUCAAAUGAUGGAAAACAUGAUGGAAACAUGACGUUUCUGUUAGUAUUCAUGUAUCGAUGUGAGGAAGCUCUUCAGUGACGUUUAAGUCACAUGAUUCAUGUACAUCAUUCAUGCUCACAGUCUGUUUAUAUUUGAUUUUUAUCCACACAGCUGCUGUUACUCCUCAGAGAAAAACUUAGUGAUAUUUAGAGAUCAGGUUUCUUUAUGUGCAAAACUGAAAAUGGAAAUAAAAGCAAGUGGAUGGAAAUUCCCACGAAUUGCA